rnacentral:misc_RNA from 1 species
UGCUUGAUCAUGUGACAGGUACAAAAGUCAAAAUGGCGGCUGGAAUUUUGAUCGCGACAGUCAUCGCCCUUAUUUUUAUUGCAAUAUGGUUUAAACAGUCUUAUCGGAUUAAAAAACUGGUGGAUAAGUUUCCUGGACCUCCUGCCCUUCCUUUGAUUGGAAAUGCACAUAUAUUAAAACGUGAUGGUGCAGAUUUUUAUGAACAGCUCAUAGAGUUCACCAGGACAUAUCCAGAAGGUGCAACAAGGCUCUGGUUGUCUGAUUUUAGACCAUGGAUUAUUUUUUACUCUGCCAAUUUUGUUGAGAAUUUUAUGAGCAACUUUUGGAGUACACUUACAUGUACGCAGAAGAAGGCACAUGUAGAUUAUGGAUGGGAGUCAAACCCUUUUUAGCAGUAUUUCGAGCACAACAUGUAGAGCCUUUGUUGAACAGUACCAAGCACAUGGACAAAUCUGCAGAAUAUGAUUUCCUACACCCCUGGCUUGGCACAGGCUUACUUACCAGUACUGGUUUAAAAUGGCACCAGAGACGUAAACUCCUCACACCUACCUUUCAUUUCAAAAUACUGAGUGACUUUCUGGAAGUAUUUAAUGAGCAAUCUAAAAUAUUUGUGUACCAGCUUAGAAACCAGACUGAGAAAGACAUUGACUUAUUCCCAUUUAUCACCAAAUGUGCCUUGGACAUCAUAUGUGACACUGCUAUGGGGAAACAUGUGAAUGCUCAGGGAAAUCCAGAGUCAAAAUAUGUGGAAGCUGUUUAUUUAAUGAGUGAGAUUGUUCACAGAAGACAAAAAGCACCAUGGCACUGGCCGGAUAUCUUGUUCAAUACUAUUGGACGUGGCAAAGAACAUGACAAAUGCUUGGAAAUUUUGCAUGGAUUCACAGAAAAGGUAAUUCAGGAGAGACAGGCAGAACAUAAACAAUACAGUGACGACAUAUCCUCAGAGAACAUUGAUGAAAAACUUGGUAAACACAAAAGGCUUGCCUUCCUGGACAUGCUGUUGUUUGCUCAGAAAGAGGCUGGUCUCACCUUCACAGACAUUCGGGAAGAAGUUGACACAUUCAUGUUUGAGGGUCAUGACACGACAGCAGCAGGUAUGGCAUGGGCCUCACAUUUGAUUGGUUCACAUCCUGACGUACAACAAAAACUACAUGACGAAAUGGACAGCAUAUUUGGUGAAAGUGAAAGAAUGCCUUCAAAGGAUGACCUGACUAAAAUGAAGUAUUUGGAAUACUGCAUCAAGGAGUCGCUCCGUUUGUUCCCAUCAGUGCCAAUGUUUGCCAGGACAAUAACUGAAGACAUUGAAAUUGAUGGCAAGAUUGUGCCCAAGGACACAACAGCAGUGAUUGUGACAAGUGCGUUACAUCGUGACCCCAAAUAUUUCCCAGACCCAGAGAAAUUUGACCCAGAGAGAUUCACACCGGAAAAUGCAAAUGGGCGACAUCCUUACGCUUAUGUUCCCUUCUCUGCUGGGAUGAGAAACUGCAUUGGACAAAAGUUUGCCAUGAUGGAGGAGAAAGUUAUUCUGUCCUCCCUUCUACGAAACUAUUCCAUAAAAUCCGUACAACGCCGAGAUGAAAUUCGACCAUUGGGAGAGCUAAUUUUGAGACCUGACUCAGGUAUCAGAGUGAGGCUCACAGCACGGAAAUAAGUGAAAAUAGUGAUAACAGAAUGAAAUAAGUGAAAAUAGUGAUAACAGUAUCAAAACAGUGAAAAUAGUGAUAACAGUAUCAAAACAGUGAAAAUAGUGAUAACAGUAUGAAAACAGUGAAAAUUGUUUGAAAUACAUGUA